GUCCUGCUGCUCCAAACCCCUGCCAAGAGCCUCUGUCCAUUUUUCCUGUAGGUGCUGAAAUCCUGAUGACCUUUCUGAGGAAUUGGUGAUUGGCUGUGCAUUCUGUGGUGUUUUGGGAUAAUGGGGAUUGAUAUUCAGCAGCAGUCUGACGUGGGAAUUGGUAACAGCCUCCCAGAAGAAGAGGCUUGUUGGGGAUGUGUAAUGAUGACGUUCCUGCACAGCUGCUUUUGUGAGGGGGGAUAAUUUGGCAGCCCUGGAGCUGCUGUUGGCCCUGUGGUUGGUGGUGAAAUGAUGGAGUGAACGUUCCCCCAGAGCUGCUCUGGGGUGAGCUGGUGCCAUUGCACUGCGCUGCCUCCAUCAAAAAAGAAAUUAUUUGGUUUUCCUUAAACCUUUAGGAAAAGGAAUUCAUGCUCAAAUGGCCUUAGCUUUCAUUUUUCCUACAAAUAAUGUUGGAUCCUAUGUGAUAAUUUAUCCACAGAAACACUUUUUUAUCCUGCCCUACUCCUAAUGAGCAAUUUCUGCAGACAGAAAAUCCUUAAAUGUGGAAAGGCCAGAGGCUGGUACAAGCUAAACAGAGGAAGAUAAAGAUCAAAUACAAAACCACGGUGUAGCAAGAUAAGAGGCAACAGAGCCUCAGAACAAAAUAUUUAGAUAAGGAUUAUGUGGGACACUGCAGGGGAGGGGGUUGGAAGUUGAGGGCUCUGUUUUCCUCCCCACAUCCCUCAUCCUCCCCAUCCCUCUCCAGCCUCUCCCUUUGGAUUUUGUCCUUGGAGCUGCUCAGAAGUUGUCACUGAGCGAGGACAGUGCUGCAGAGCCACCAUGGAAAGGAGCCUGGCCUGGCUGGUUUGGAAUAACAACAAUUCCCUGGCCCUGCUUUCCUGCAGAGGGGGAAUUGUGGGCUGUGCAAUCUCAGCGCAGUCCCUGAGGGAGGCUGGAGCCCAGCCCUUGGGUAAAACCAAACCAGUGGUUUUAUCUUGAAUGGAGAGAACAGGUGGAAGUGCUGUCAGCCAGCGUGGGCAGCAGGAAUGGCAGGAAUGCUGCCCACAGGAGCCUGGGGACCUGUGGGAAGAGAAAAUGAAAGGAAUCUGGUUAUCCAAGACAUUUCCCCACUCGGUUUCCCUGAAGUCCUGUGCCCAGCAGUGACUGCAGCAGGCAAAGCAGCAAAAACCCAAUUACACCUAAAAUAUACACUGAAUCUGCUUAUCCAAGAAAUUUCCCCACUCGAAUUUCCUGAAGUCCUGGACCCAGACACCUGCAGAAACCCAAAAGGACAGAUGAGGGCUCCAAGGGCCAGAAACAGCAGGAGAGAACCCCUGCCUUCCCAUUUUCCAUGUUUUCCAUGUUUUUAUGGGCAGCAGCCAGCUGCAGAUGUUGGGGACAAGAGGAGGGACCUGGGGAAGGAGCAGAGCUGAUUCCAGAGCUGAUCCAAGGGGCUCUGCCCUGUCCCACCCUGCUCCCUGGCAGGGCAUCCCACGGACGUGGAGCCCUCCCAGGUCUGGCCAUGGAUGCACACCCAAAGCGGCUCCUUUGGCCCAGGGAUCACAGGGCCUCCAAUUCCUGCAUCACAGGGCUCUGCUUCUCCUCUGCCUGUGGAACCCCUCUCCUGUAAGCACAGACCUGGUGCUCGGUUUGUUUAUUUCUCUGUACAAACCUGGUGCUGGGUUUGUUUAUUUCUGGUGGGUUUGGUUAUUUCUGUGUUCCAUACCUCAGCUGAGGACAUUCUUUCCUCACCACAUUCCUGGCUGUGGACUCGAAGCUGUGCUGCCCGCACGCCUUGGGAGCGUUUUCCACGUGGAAAUGUGACAUUGCACUGAAUAAUUUGCAUUACCUGGCCCUUCCUUCCAGGAACCAGCAGGGCUGUGGGUGCUUUGGGUGGACAGUUUCCUUUUCGUGGCUUUAGCUUUGGCUUUGAGCACGUUGUGCAGGCACCUAAAGCUGUAAUUAAAUUAAUGCCAUCACAGGCAAUGCCUGGUGUUUCCACACAAGCAAAAACCCCAGAAUAUUUCCUUCUUCCACAGCACUCCUAGGGCUUUGCUGGGCCAAAUUACAAGUUUAUUUUUUAACUUGUAUUUUUUUUUAGCUUGUUCAAAGAGGUGGAGAAAGCAGCAGCACAUCAGCCUCUCCACCAGCUGUGAGCUGUGACCAUCCAGCCU